UGGGGCGUGGCCAAGUGGUAAGGCAUCGGUUUUUGGUAUCAUGUACCGUAGGUUCGAAUCCUACCGCCCCAGCCA
rnacentral:tRNA from 1 species